CCUACGGGAGGCAGCAGUGAGGAAUAUUGGGCAAUGGGGGCAACCCUGACCCAGCCAUGCCGCGUGAGUGAUGAAGGUCUUCGGAUUGGAAAGCUCUUUCGGUCGUGACGAUGAUUACGGUAGCGUCUCAUUCAUCACCGGCCAACUUCGUGCCAGCAGCCGCGGUAAUACGAAGGGUGCGAGCGUUGUCCGGAAUUACUGGGCGUAAAGGGAGUGUAGGCGGGUAUGUAAGAUAGCGGUGAAAUGCCGGGGCUCAACCCCGGAACUGCCAUUAUGACUAUGUAUCUAGAGUAAUGGAGAGGAUAGCGGAAUACCCAGUGUAGAGGUGAAAUUCGUAGAUAUUGGGUAGAACACCGGUGGCGAAGGCGGCUAUCUGGACAGUGACUGACGCUGAGGCUCGAAAGCAUGGGGAUCAAACAGGAUUAGAUACCCCUGUAGUC
rnacentral:rRNA from 1 species